CUUGGGUACUCGAGUGGCGAACGGGUGAGUAACACGUGGGUGAUCUGCCUUGCACUCUGGGAUAAGCUUGGGAAACUGGGUCUAAUACCGGAUAGGAACCGUCUUUAGUGUGGUGGUUGGAAAGUUUUUCGGUGCAAGAUGAGCUCGCGGCCUAUCAGCUUGUUGGUGGGGUAAUGGCCUACCAAGGCGUCGACGGGUAGCCGGCCUGAGAGGGUGUACGGCCACAUUGGGACUGAGAUACGGCCCAG
rnacentral:rRNA from 1 species